GAUGAACGCUGGCGGCGUGCCUAAUACAUGCAAGUCGAGCGAACAGAUGAGGAGCUUGCUCCUCUGACGUUAGCGGCGGACGGGUGAGUAACACGUGGAUAACCUACCUAUAAGACUGGUAUAACUUCGGGAAACCGGAGCUAAUACCGGAUAAUAUAUUGAACCGCAUGGUUCAAUAGUGAAAGACGGUUUUGCUGUCACUUAUAGAUGGAUCCGCGCCGCAUUAGCUAGUUGGUAAGGUAACGGCUUACCAAGGCAACGAUGCGUAGCCGACCUGAGAGGGUGAUCGGCCACACUGGAAGUGAGACACGGUCCAGACUCCGACGGGAGGCAGCAGUAGGGAAUCUUCCGCAAUGGGCGAGAGCCUGACGGAGCAACGCCGCGUGAGUGAUGAAGGUCUUCGGAUCGUAAAACUCUGUUAUUAGGGAAGAACAAAUGUGUAAGUAACUAUGCACGUAUUGACGGUACCUAAUCAGAAAGCCACGGCUAACUACGUG
rnacentral:rRNA from 1 species